GACGAACGCUGGCGGCGUGCUUAACACAUGCAAGUCGAACGGAAGGGCCCUGCUUGCCGGGUGCUCGAGUGGCGAACGGGUGAGUAACACGUGGGUGAUCUGCCCCUUACUUUGGGAUAAGCCUGGGAAACUGGGUCUAAUACUGGAUAGGACCAUGCUGUAGGUGGUGUGGUGGAAAGAUUAGUUUCGGUAAGGGAUGAGCUCGCGGCCUAUCAGCUUGUUGGUGGGGUAAUGGCCUACCAAGGCGUCGACGGGUAGCCGGCCUGAGAGGGUGGACGGCCACAUUGGGACUGAGAUACGGCCCAGACUCCUACGGGAGGCAGCAGUGGGGAAUAUUGCACAAUGGGCGCAAGCCGGAUGCAGCGACGCCGCGUGGGGGAUGACGGCCUUCGGGUUGUAAACUCCUUUCAGCCAUGACGAAGCCCUUGUGGUGACGGUAGUGGUAGAAGAAGCACCGGCUAACUACGUG
rnacentral:rRNA from 1 species